UGGGGAAUUUUGGACAAUGGGCGAAAGCCUGAUCCAGCAAUGCCGCGUGUGUGAAGAAGGCCUUCGGGUUGUAAAGCACUUUUGUCCGGAAAGAAAUCCUUGGCUCUAAUACAGUCGGGGGAUGACGGUACCGGAAGAAUAAGCACCGGCUAACUACGUGCCAGCAGCCGCGGUAAUACGUAGGGUGCAAGCGUUAAUCGGAAUUACUGGGCGUAAAGCGUGCGCAGGCGGUUUGCUAAGACCGAUGUGAAAUCCCCGGGCUCAACCUGGGAAACUGCAUUGGUGACUGGCAGGCUAGAGUAUGGCAGAGGGGGGUAGAAUUCCACGUGUAGCAGUGAAAUGCGUAGAGAUGUGGAGGAAUACCGAUGGCGAAGGCNGCCCCCUGGGCCAAUACUGACGCUCAUGCACGAAAGCGUGGGGAGCAAACAGGAUUAGAUACCCUGGUAGUCCACGCCCUAAACGAUGUCAACUAGUUGUUGGGGAUUCAUUUCCUUAGUAACGUAGCUAACGCGUGAAGUUGACCGCCUGGGGAGUACGGUCGC
rnacentral:rRNA from 1 species